rnacentral:rRNA from 1 species
AUUGAACGCUGGCGGCAUGCCUUACACAUGCAAGUCGAACGGCAGCACGGAGCUUGCUCUGGUGGCGAGUGGCGAACGGGUGAGUAAUAUAUCGGAACGUACCCUAGAGUGGGGGAUAACGUAGCGAAAGUUACGCUAAUACCGCAUACGAUCUAAGGAUGAAAGUGGGGGAUCGCAAGACCUCAUGCUCGUGGAGCGGCCGAUAUCUGAUUAGCUAGUUGGUAGGGUAAAAGCCUACCAAGGCAUCGAUCAGUAGCUGGUCUGAGAGGACGACCAGCCACACUGGAACUGAGACACGGUCCAGACUCCUACGGGAGGCAGCAGUGGGGAAUUUUGGACAAUGGGCGAAAGCCUGAUCCAGCAAUGCCGCGUGAGUGAAGAAGGCCUUCGGGUUGUAAAGCUCUUUUGUCAGGGAAGAAACGGUGAAAGCUAAUAUCUUUUGCUAAUGACGGUACCUGAAGAAUAAGCACCGGCUAACUACGUGCCAGCAGCCGCGGUAAUACGUAGGGUGCAAGCGUUAAUCGGAACUACUGGGCGUAAAGCGUGCGCAGGCGGUUUUGUAAGUCUGAUGUGAAAUCCCCGGGCUCAACCUGGGAAUUGCAUUGGAGACUGCAAGGCUAGAAUCUGGCAGAGGGGGGUAGAAUUCCACGUGUAGCAGUGAAAUGCGUAGAUAUGUGGAGGAACACCGAUGGCGAAGGCAGCCCCCUGGGUCAAGAUUGACGCUCAUGCACGAAAGCGUGGGGAGCAAACAGGAUUAGAUACCCUGGUAGUCCACGCCCUAAACGAUGUCUACUAGUUGUCGGGUCUUAAUUGACUUGGUAACGCAGCUAACGCGUGAAGUAGACCGCCUGGGGAGUACGGUCGCAAGAUUAAAACUCAAAGGAAUUGACGGGGACCCGCACAAGCGGUGGAUGAUGUGGAUUAAUUCGAUGCAACGCGAAAAACCUUACCUACCCUUGACAUGGCUGGAAUCCUUGAGAGAUCAGGGAGUGCUCGAAAGAGAACCAGUACACAGGUGCUGCAUGGCUGUCGUCAGCUCGUGUCGUGAGAUGUUAGGUUAAGUCCCGCAACGAGCGCAACCCUUGUCAUUAGUUGCUACGAAAGGGCACUCUAAUGAGACUGCCGGUGACAAACCGGAGGAAGGUGGGGAUGACGUCAAGUCCUCAUGGCCCUUAUGGGUAGGGCUUCACACGUCAUACAAUGGUACAUACAGAGCGCCGCCAACCCGCGAGGGGGAGCUAAUCGCAGAAAGUGUAUCGUAGUCCGGAUUGUAGUCUGCAACUCGACUGCAUGAAGUUGGAAUCGCUAGUAAUCGCGGAUCAGCAUGUCGCGGUGAAUACGUUCCCGGGUCU